rnacentral:lncRNA from 1 species
UUACACGGAUCACGACUUGAUUAAUGCUUGUCUCCCAGCUAGGCCGCCAGCUGCACAAGCAGCUACCAGGAGGCAGCCUGAACGUGUCAGGGCCUGGGCACGACACUUGCCUUUCUUGGAGGAGUGAUUUGAAGCCAUAGUGGAAGACUGAGCCUCUAUAAAAAAUGAACGAGGACACUCUUAAUGGACAGAUACAAAACAAGCCCCAGGAGAAAGGUGUUGUUAUGUCCAAAGCCAUCUUGCCAUGCGCAGCCUGAGAAUGGAGCCAAUGACUGAGGGUGGCAGAGCAGAAAGAUGAGAUAAAUGGUACGAGGCUGAUAUGGGAGCAUCCAUCACUGACUACCAGGUUGCUACUCCCAGCUCCUGUCUUCACAUCUGCAUACCAACCAGUAAGAAGAGGAGAAGGAGCAAGGAGAGCACAUAACUUUCCUUUUAAGGACACAACUAGAUGCCAUGUUGUGAGCUGCUCUGUGGAGGGGGACCUGUGGCGAGGAACUGAGGGCAGCCAGCAGGCAACAGCCAGCUGCCAUGUUGUGAGUAGCCCUAUGGAGGGGCCCACAUGGCAAGGAACUGAC